UCUUAUAUAUAUACCUACAACAUUAAUGCAUCGGAUCCCAUCAGAACUCCCUAGUUAAGCAUGUUUGGGAUAGAUUAGUACUGGGAUGGGUGACCUUGUAAUAUCCCUAGGUCGAAC
rfam:Picea glauca, whole genome shotgun sequence.